rnacentral:rRNA from 1 species
UGCGUAGGCGGGUUUCUAAGUCAGAGGUGAAAGCCUGGAGCUCAACUCCAGAACUGCCUUUGAUACUGGAAGUCUUGAGUAUGGCAGAGGUGAGUGGAACUGCGAGUGUAGAGGUGAAAUGCGUAGAUAUAGGAAGGAACACCAGUGGCGAAGGCGACCACCUGGACUGAUACUGACACUGAGGUGCGAAAGCGUGGGGAAGCAAACA